ACUCUAAGCGGUGGAUCACUCGGCUCAUGGGUCGAUGAAGAACGCAGCAAACUGUGCGUCAUCGUGUGAACUGCAGGACACAUGAACAUCGACAUUUUGAACGCAUAUCGCAGUCCAUGCUGUUAUGUACUUUAAUUAAUUUUAUAGUGCUGCUUGGACUACAUAUGGUUGAGGGUUGUAAGACUAUGCUAAUUAAGUUGCUUAUAAAUUUUUAUAAGCAUAUGGUAUAUUAUUGGAUAAAUAUAAUAAUUUUUAUUCAUAAUAUUAAAAAAUAAAUGAAAAACAUUAUCUCACAUUUGAAUGUGAAAAACGAAGAGAAAUAUUUUCUUUUUCAAUCAAAUAAUACUGAGAAAUGUCUAGCAUAAAAAAUUGAAAUAUUUUUCAUCUAGAAUUGUCUCUUAUUAAUGAUUCGGAAAUAGAAAAAUCUUGGUUAUGUUAUUAUUCUUCGUUGGUUCGUUAAAAAUGGAUAAAUAAAAACUUUGCAUACAAGAAUUAAUAAAAAUGUUAUAACGAAUUUAAUUAAAUGUUUUAUCAUUAUAUAUAAAGAAUUUAUGGCAAGAUAAAGUUAUAUACAACCUCAACUCAUAUGGGACUACCCCCUGAAUUUAAGCAUAUUAAUUAGGGGAGGAAAAGAAACUAACAAGGAUUUUCUUAGUAGCGGCGAGCGAAAAGAAAACAGUUCAGCACUAAGUCACUUUGUCUAUAUGGCAAAUGUGAGAUGCAGUGUAUGGAGCGUCAAUAUUCUAGUAUGAGAAAUUAACGAUUUAAGUCCUUCUUAAAUGAGGCCAUUUACCCAUAGAGGGUGCCAGGCCCGUAUAACGUUAAUGAUUACUAGAUGAUGUUUCCAAAGAGUCGUGUUGCUUGAUAGUGCAGCACUAAGUGGGUGGUAAACUCCAUCUAAAACUAAAUAUAACCAUGAGACCGAUAGUAAACAAGUACCGUGAGGGAAAGUUGAAAAGAACUCUGAAUAGAGAGUUAAACAGUACGUGAAACUGCUUAGAGGUUAAGCCCGAUGAACCUGAAUAUCCGUUAUGGAAAAUUCAUCAUUAAAAUUGUAAUAUUUAAAUAAUAUUAUGAGAAUAGUGUGCAUUUUUUCCAUAUAAGGACAUUGUAAUCUAUUAGCAUAUACCAAAUUUAUCAUAAAAUAUAACUUAUAGUUUAUUCCAAUUAAAUUGCUUGCAUUUUAACACAGAAUAAAUGUUAUUAAUUUGAUAAAGUGCUGAUAGAUUUAUAUGAUUACAGUGCGUUAAUUUUUCGGAAUUAUAUAAUGGCAUAAUUAUCAUUGAUUUUUGUGUUUAUUAUAUGCACUUGUAUGAUUAACAAUGCGAAAGAUUCAGGAUACCUUCGGGACCCGUCUUGAAACACGGACCAAGGAGUCUAACAUAUGUGCAAGUUAUUGGGAUAUAAACCUAAUAGCGUAAUUAACUUGACUAAUAAUGGGAUUAGUUUUUUAGCUAUUUAUAGCUAAUUAACACAAUCCCGGGGCGUUCUAUAUAGUUAUGUAUAAUGUAUAUUUAUAUUAUUUAUGCCUCUAACUGGAACGUACCUUGAGCAUAUAUGCUGUGACCCGAAAGAUGGUGAACUAUACUUGAUCAGGUUGAAGUCAGGGGAAACCCUGAUGGAAGACCGAAACAGUUCUGACGUGCAAAUCGAUUGUCAGAAUUGAGUAUAGGGGCGAAAGACCAAUCGAACCAUCUAGUAGCUGGUUCCUUCCGAAGUUUCCCUCAGGAUAGCUGGUGCAUUUUAAUAUUAUAUAAAAUAAUCUUAUCUGGUAAAGCGAAUGAUUAGAGGCCUUAGGGUCGAAACGAUCUUAACCUAUUCUCAAACUUUAAAUGGGUAAGAACCUUAACUUUCUUGAUAUGAAGUUCAAGGUUAUGAUAUAAUGUGCCCAGUGGGCCACUUUUGGUAAGCAGAACUGGCGCUGUGGGAUGAACCAAACGUAAUGUUACGGUGCCCAAAUUAACAACUCAUGCAGAUACCAUGAAAGGCGUUGGUUGCUUAAAACAGCAGGACGGUGAUCAUGGAAGUCGAAAUCCGCUAAGGAGUGUGUAACAACUCACCUGCCGAAGCAACUAGCCCUUAAAAUGGAUGGCGCUUAAGUUGUAUACCUAUACAUUACCGCUAAAGUAGAUGAUUUAUAUUACUUGUGAUAUAAAUUUUGAAACUUUAGUGAGUAGGAAGGUACAAUGGUAUGCGUAGAAGUGUUUGGCGUAAGCCUGCAUGGAGCUGCCAUUGGUACAGAUCUUGGUGGUAGUAGCAAAUAAUCGAAUGAGACCUUGGAGGACUGAAGUGGAGAAGGGUUUCGUGUGAACAGUGGUUGAUCACGAGUUAGUCGGUCCUAAGUUCAAGGCGAAAGCCGAAAAUUUUCAAGUAAAACAAAAAUGCCUAACUAUAUAAACAAAGCGAAUUAUAAUACACUUGAAUAAUUUUGAACGAAAGGGAAUACGGUUCCAAUUCCGUAACCUGUUGAGUAUCCGUUUGUUAUUAAAUAUGGGCCUCGUGCUCAUCCUGGCAACAGGAACGACCAUAAAGAAGCCGUCGAGAGAUAUCGGAAGAGUUUUCUUUUCUGUUUUAUAGCCGUACUACCAUGGAAGUCUUUCGCAGAGAGAUAUGGUAGAUGGGCUAGAAGAGCAUGACAUAUACUGUUGUGUCGAUAUUUUCUCCUCGGACCUUGAAAAUUUAUGGUGGGGACACGCAAACUUCUCAACAGGCCGUACCAAUAUCCGCAGCUGGUCUCCAAGGUGAAGAGUCUCUAGUCGAUAGAAUAAUGUAGGUAAGGGAAGUCGGCAAAUUAGAUCCGUAACUUCGGGAUAAGGAUUGGCUCUGAAGAUUGAGAUAGUCGGGCUUGAUUGGGAAACAAUAACAUGGUUUAUGUGCUCGUUCUGGGUAAAUAGAGUUUCUAGCAUUUAUGUUAGUUACUUGUUCCCCGGAUAGUUUAGUUACGUAGCCAAUUGUGGAACUUUCUUGCUAAAAUUUUUAAGAAUACUAUUUGGGUUAAACCAAUUAGUUCUUAUUAAUUAUAACGAUUAUCAAUUAACAAUCAAUUCAGAACUGGCACGGACUUGGGGAAUCCGACUGUCUAAUUAAAACAAAGCAUUGUGAUGGCCCUAGCGGGUGUUGACACAAUGUGAUUUCUGCCCAGUGCUCUGAAUGUCAAAGUGAAGAAAUUCAAGUAAGCGCGGGUCAACGGCGGGAGUAACUAUGACUCUCUUAAUUGGAACUACAAGCACAAAUAACGAGCCUCGGAUACCUUUACACAAUCUGAUGACGACCGACCCUCCGUGGAUAUCUUCCGGAGGACCAAUAUGAACCAAACGCAGCGGCUACUCUAUCUAGGGUUCCUGCACAGUAUGUGGCCGGUCCUUUAACAGCAAGAGAGGACUCGGUGUUCA
rnacentral:rRNA from 1 species